rnacentral:rRNA from 1 species
GAUGAACGCUAGCGGCAGGCCUAACACAUGCAAGUCGAGGGGUAGAGGAAGCUUGCUUCCUUGAGACCGGCGCACGGGUGCGUAACGCGUAUGCAAUCUACCUUGUACAGGGGAAUAGCCCAGAGAAAUUUGGAUUAAUGCCCCAUAGUAUAUAACCUUCGCAUGUUGGUUAUAUUAAAGUUCCAACGGUACAAGAUGAGCAUGCGUCCCAUUAGUUAGUUGGUAAGGUAACGGCUUACCAAGACGAUGAUGGGUAGGGGUCCUGAGAGGGAGAUCCCCCACACUGGUACUGAGACACGGACCAGACUCCUACGGGAGGCAGCAGUGAGGAAUAUUGGUCAAUGGGCGCAAGCCUGAACCAGCCAUGCCGCGUGCAGGAAGACGGUCCUAUGGAUUGUAAACUGCUUUUAUACAGGAAGAAACCCUCCCACGUGUGGGAGAUUGACGGUACUGUAGGAAUAAGGAUCGGCUAACUCCGUGCCAGCAGCCGCAGUAAGAC